rnacentral:ncRNA from 2 species
CGGACCAGGCUUCAUUCCCCC